GAAAAAGUGGUCCUCUGGCAGAACCAAGUGGCAUUGCUGGUGGCGCCGCCACCUGUGGCGGCGGUGGCUGGUGGCUGUGGUCAUGAUUGUCAAUUUUCAACCCCUUGCGUUUCGAGUCCGAUCUGUCAUGCAAUAGUCGAGCCCGAUUUCGACAGUUUACGGAACAAAAGUUAAGGAGUUCUCUGGAACCUGCAUCCCUCUAGAGAGCACGGUGGGGAUGGCAUGAACCGGUAAAUGUGUAACAAAUGCAGCUCCAAAUUGGGAAAUAGAACGGUUUGACUAUUUGAAACUUCGCGCCAGCACGUGGAAGUCGCAGUGUGUAUGGGAAGUGGGAACAACUGCGUCGAACUGUUUUAAUAUUAUAAAACUUAUUAAAUAUUACUCCAUAUAGAAUUCAUUGUAUACUCGGAUCUCGACUCUCAAGUUUUAUGUACAAAUAUUCAUAUAGUACAAAUAUUCAAGUUUUAUGUAUUCAUAUUAAAUAUUGUUGAUUA